GCUGGGCAUGGUGGCGGGCGCCUGUAAUCCCAGCUACUCGGGAGGCUGAGGCAGGAGAAUUGCUUGAACCCGGGAGGCAGAGGUUGCAGUGAGCCAAGAUCACACCACUGCACUCCAGCCCCAUGGGUGACAGAGUGAGACUCCAUCUCAAAAAAAAAAAAGUUAAAAAUUUAUUUAAGACAGUGUCUUGCUCAGGCUGGAGUGCAGUGGUAAGAUGAUAGCUCACUGCAGCCUCCAACUCCUGGGCCCAGGCAAUCCUCCCACCU
rnacentral:lncRNA from 1 species